UACGUAGGGUGCGAGCGUUAAUCGGAAUUACUGGGCGUAAAGCGUGCGCAGGCGGUUCGCUAAGACCGAUGUGAAAUCCCCGGGCUUAACCUGGGAACUGCAUUGGUGACCGGCGGGCUGGAGUAUGGCAGAGGGGGGUAGAAUUCCACGUGUAGCAGUGAAAUGCGUAGAGAUGUGGAGGAAUACCGAUGGCGAAGGCAGCCCCCUGGGCCAAUACUGACGCUCAUGCACGAAAGCGUGGGGAGCAAACAGG
rnacentral:rRNA from 1 species